AGAGACAGAGAGACAGGUACAGAGAGACAGAGAGACAGGUAGACAGAGAGACAGACAGAGAGACAGAGAGACAGGUAGACAGAGAGACAGACAGAGAGACAGAGAGACAGGUAGACAGAGAGACAGGUACAGAGAGACAGAGAGACAGGUAGACAGAGAGACAGACAGAGAGACAGAGAGACAGGUAGACAGAGAGACAGAGAGACAGACAGAGAGACAGAGAGACAGGUACAGAGAGACAGAGAGACAGACAGAGAGACAGGUACAGAGAGACAGACAGAGAGACAGAGAGACAGGUACAGAGAGACAGACAGAGAGACAGAGAGACAGGUACAGAGAGACAGAGAGACAGACAGAGAGACAGGUACAGAGAGACAGAGAGACAGGUACAGAGAGACAGGUAGACAGAGAGACAGGUACACAGAGAGACAGACAGGUACAGAGACAGGUACAGAGAGACAGGUACAGAGACAGAUAGACGGGUAGAUAGGUACCAUAGACAG